CCUACGGGAGGCAGCAGUGGGGAAUAUUGCACAAUGGGGGAAACCCUGAUGCAGCGACGCCGCGUGAGUGAAGAAGGACUUCGGUAUGUAAAGCUCUAUCAGCAGGGAAGAAAAUGACGGUACGUGACUAAGAAGCCCCGGCUAACUACGUGCCAGCAGCCGCGGUACUACGGAGGGGGCAAGCGUUAUACGGAUGUACUGGGGGUAAAGGGAGCGUAGACGGCUCGGCAAGUCUGAAGUGAAAGGCAGGGGCUUAACCGUUGAACUGCUGUGGAAACUGGCAUGCUAGAGUGCUGGAGAGGUAAGUGGAAUUCCUAGUGUAGCGGUGAAAUGCGUAGAUAUUAGGAGGAACACCAGUGGCGAAGGCGGCUUACUGGACAGUAACUGACGUUGAGGCUCGAAAGCGUGGGGAGCAAACAGGAUUAGAUACCCGAGUAGUC
rnacentral:rRNA from 1 species